CCCAAUAAGCAUAACAAAUUCUUACAAAUGUUUCAAAAAACCAAAAAGACCUAAAUAUAUAAAAAUAUGCAUAUUUGGUUGUAACAUUAAAUAUAUUUCUUUUAAACUAACCUUAUUUUAUGAUUGCGCCAAAUAAAUAUGCAAAUGCUAGAAGCCCUCUGCCCUAUUAAUUGAUUAUAUGACACGGAGUCUCAUAUAUUAUAGUAUCAUUAUUAAAUUACUUAUACUAGUUAUUGGGCCAUUUUUGUGACGGACAUUUAAAAACAUCGUUUGUUAAUCGAACCUAAAAAAUAAUAAUUAAAAUGAAUAUAAAUUAAAUUUUAUUUCGCUUAAGAUUUAUAUACCCACGUCCAUUGUCUCCUCCGUCUUACGAAUAGCAAAUUUUCAUUUAGUAGAACAAAUGUUGUGCCGUUAUUAUUAAUAAUUUAUUCUACGUUGGUGAUUUUUCAAUAUUUCGAUUUUUAAGUGAUUACGCAUAUUGUGUAAAUUAAAACAAUUUAAAAAUACUUAUAUCUCCGUUAAAAAAAUAAAAUAU